GAACGCUAGCUACAGGCUUAACACAUGCAAGUCGAGGGGCAGCAUGGUCUUAGCUUGCUAAGGCCGAUGGCGACCGGCGCACGGGUGAGUAACACGUAUCCAACCUGCCGUCUACUCUUGGACAGCCUUCUGAAAGGAAGAUUAAUACAAGAUGGCAUCAUGAGUCCGCAUGUUCACAUGAUUAAAGGUAUUCCGGUAGACGAUGGGGAUGCGUUCCAUUAGAUAGUAGGCGGGGUAACGGCCCACCUAGUCUUCGAUGGAUAGGGGUUCUGAGAGGAAGGUCCCCCACAUUGGAACUGAGACACGGUCCAAACUCCUACGGGAGGCAGCAGUGAGGAAUAUUGGUCAAUGGGCGAGAGCCUGAACCAGCCAAGUAGCGUGAAGGAUGACUGCCCUAUGGGUUGUAAACUUCUUUUAUAAAGGAAUAAAGUCGGGUAUGGAUACCCGUUUGCAUGUACUUUAUGAAUAAGGAUCGGCUAACUCCGUGCCAGCAGCCGCGGUAAUACGGAGGAUCCGAGCGUUAUCCGGAUUUAUUGGGUUUAAAGGGAGCGUAGAUGGAUGUUUAAGUCAGUUGUGAAAGUUUGCGGCUCAACCGUAAAAUUGCAGUUGAUACUGGAUAUCUUGAGUGCAGUUGAGGCAGGCGGAAUUCGUGGUGUAGCGGUGAAAUGCUUAGAUAUCACGAAGAACUCCGAUUGCGAAGGCAGCCUGCUAAGCUGCAACUGACAUUGAGGCUCGAAAGUGUGGGUAUCAAACAGGAUUAGAUACCCUGGUAGUCCACACGGUAAACGAUGAAUACUCGCUGUUUGCGAUAUACUGCAAGCGGCCAAGCGAAAGCGUUAAGUAUUCCACCUGGGGAGUACGCCGGCAACGGUGAAACUCAAAGGAAUUGACGGGGGCCCGCACAAGCGGAGGAACAUGUGGUUUAAUUCGAUGAUACGCGAGGAACCUUACCCGGGCUUAAAUUGCAGAUGAAUUACGGUGAAAGCCGUAAGCCGCAAGGCAUCUGUGAAGGUGCUGCAUGGUUGUCGUCAGCUCGUGCCGUGAGGUGUCGGCUUAAGUGCCAUAACGAGCGCAACCCUUGUUGUCAGUUACUAACAGGUUCCGCUGAGGACUCUGACAAGACUGCCAUCGUAAGAUGUGAGGAAGGUGGGGAUGACGUCAAAUCAGCACGGCCCUUACGUCCGGGGCUACACACGUGUUACAAUGGGGGGGUACAGAGGGCCGCUACCACGCGAGUGGAUGCCAAUCCCCAAAACCUCUCUCAGUUCGGACUGGAGUCUGCAACCCGACUCCACGAAGCUGGAUUCGCUAGUAAUCGCGCAUCAGCCACGGCGCGGUGAAUACGUUCCCGGGCCUUGUACACACCGCCCGUCAAGCCAUGGGAGCCGGGGGUACCUGAAGUGCGUAACCGCGAGGAGCGCCCUAGGGUAAAACUGGUGACUGGGGC
rnacentral:rRNA from 1 species